UAUCUUUACGACCGUUGCGACCAUAUAGAAACCGGGCUUUACUGAGCCUUGCUUGAGUGAUGAUUUGAAUAAAACCUUGAACAGAGACUUGGUACGAAACAUAGCUAUUUUACUACAUUAUAGAUGGUAUCGAGUUUCGUUACGUUCUAACUGUGACCUUCACUGGGCUUCAAAACUGAAAUAUCAACACUACAAGGACAUCUGGAUUAAUCCUUACCAAAAUCUAGGAUUUGCCCAGGCAGAGAAUAUUUACCAAUUUAAAGAUAAUUGCGCAGACCACGGCAGGCGGAUCAUAUUGCAAAGUGACAGCAGUAAUGGUGAACGCGAAUUCUCAAGCUUGCUGAUAAACAACACCAUGAUUGCACAAUUAUUUUCUGGCGUGAUUGUAAUAUGCUUGAUUCUGUUUUCGGGCAGAGUAACUUCGUUUUGCGGUAAG